GCGAUGGUGGUAUAGUGGUAGGCAUGGUUGCCUUUCAAGUAAAUGACCCGAGUUCGAUUCUCGGUUAUCGCA
rnacentral:tRNA from 1 species